rnacentral:lncRNA from 1 species
AAGGAAUCUCGCGUGAGUCCGUUGGGGUGAUUUAAAGGAGAUGAUUAAAUACUCUUAUUAAGGUCUUCAACUGAUCCAAGUGAAUAGAGUAGGCCUAAGGCAAAUGACCAAUAUCGUGAGACCUAAAUUGGAAUUAUAUUCCAAAGACGAAAUCAUAGAGUCCUUGACACUUUUCAAUUUAUAAAUAAAACGGGCUCCAAAGCCUCCUCAGGGUCUGGCCAAUUGCAUCUACAGCAAAUUGGCCUGACUUCAAAACAAACCGUAACAACAGUCAUUACCACCAUUUAACAUGCCUAGUUGCAGAGUAGCCAAAUACAAGAAUGAAUUUGUCUAAAGCCUGAUUAGAGCUAACACCAUUUUAGUGAGUCAUUCUUCCAUAGAAUCAAUCUCCUAAAUCUCACUCCACUUGCCAGAUUCUUGCUUUACAUGUUCCUGAUGCAAUCAUAAUCUAUUCUAAUUUAUACAAACGAGUUGUUGUAGACUGAUUCCAUGACCCUAAUUCAAAUCAUACUCACUAUCACUAUUCAACAUGCUGUAAAUUUCAUAAUAACAUUUGUCUCUAAUCAGACCAUUGAGUGCAAUUAAAUCAAACUUGGAUUCAACUUUUAUGAAGGUUAUACAUACUAAUAUGCAGAUCUAACUCAUUUCAAUCAUAGACUAAGCUUAUACAAAGAUCAUUUUAGCUUAAAAUCAAUUAGCUAUACCUUGACUAAAUCUACAGUAACAUAGUCAAUAAUCACAGCUAAACAUAAUUCAUAUAUCAAGAGAGAAAGCAAGUAUGGACAGAUUAAAGGACCACACACCCUUAAUACACGAAAUCUGGACAUAAAUACAACAAGAACAAAUCAUAUCUUCAAUUCCAUAUUCAAUAGAGAUCCUAGAUGAAGGAUUACAUACCUAGCAACAAGGAAACAUAAGAAAAUGACCAAGUAAAGGUCAAAUUUGAGGGCAAACAGAACUUGGUUAGACAGGAGAACUAAAGCAGUAAUCAACAACAAAUGAACUCCAACUUCAACAGCUUCUAAACCCAAAAAAUAUUCCCCAAAAGCUUGCUUUCAGAUCUCUUUUCUAAGUGCUCUCUUUUUUUUUUGUGUUUUGUUUUUGAAAUUAGGAUUGCUAAAUCUAAGAGUAAAUACUUCAAAGUGUAUAAAAAAAAAGGAUGAAGUCCUCUCAAUCCAGUCUUGUGUGGUGAAGUGAAAAAGAAGAGUGUAUUCAAUGUAUGCAAAAUGUGUGUGUGUUCUCUAAAGGAAUGCCGAGAUAAAGAUGCCUAAAAAUGAGAGUGUAAAUGAGUUUUUAUGCAAAAAAUGAGAGCUUCUUUUGAGAAUCUGUCAGUCCCUAAAAAAUAGGAAAAUAACAUCUUUUAAAACUGAAUUGGACAACUGUCCUAUUCAGAUUUUUUUUUUCUUUUAACAGCCCCUUUAACUUCUGAAUUUACCCCUUUUCACCCCAAAUUUGACCUAAUUCCUUUGUCAUAUUGCAUUUUAACCCCUUCUACUCUAUUCUAGAACCUUCUUAACACCUAAACAGAAAGAUUAAGUGAUUUUCUUAUUUCUUUUAGCCCCUUAGACUUCUGUUAAUUACAUACAACUAUAAUUAGGAAUUCAAAACGUAUCAGGAAGUCCAACACAGAGCAAACCAUAUGCAAAACCAAAUAAUUUAACAAAUAAAUCCUAAUUUAAAUAUGCGACUAACUAAUUCAGGAUCAAUUAGCUUACAAACUAACUAUCAUGCAGUUAAACUAUUAAGCUAAUCAUGCAAAACAUACAAUUAAACAGAUAAUAUGCAAAACGUCUAACUAAAUUGAACUAAGAGAAAGAAAAUGCAAAACAUGGAUUCAUUGAAAUUAACAAGGAAACAAAUAAUCUUAAACAAAAGAAAAGGUCGAAAAGUUACCGAUUGAUGCCGUAUAGGCACUGGUCAGAAGGAAACUGGUGGUCGACCAAACUCCGGCAAUCCAAAGUUAUUGCUAUGUGAGCACUGGCCGGAGAUUAUCCAUCUUUAGGUCAGUGCUACACAUAAUAAUGACUCUGACGAGCCGUGUAGAAGGAGGAAAGAAGGAAUUGAGGAAAUCUGCUGAUGGUAAUCAGUUAAUACCAGUUAUCUAACUCAGAUGGGUCAAGGUUUAGGAAAAAUCAGAAAUGGGCAAUUUAAGUUGAUCUUUGAUUCUUAGAUCCGGAAAUCGAAGAGAUUCAAAAGGUGUUGAGGGAAACCAAUAAGGGGCUGUGAAUGAGGAGGGAAUGAGGAUUGUGGGUGGUGAUUUGGAGCCGUUUGGAGCAGUGCCGCCGCCGUGGGAUGAUUUUCGGCGGCGGCUCUGAGAGAAAGUGAAAAAGAUGAGAGAUGAUGAGAGUCUCUAGGGUUUUGGGGGUUAGGGGACCCGGUUCAGACAGUUAUAUGGGAGAAAGGGGAUGAGUUGCGGACUAUUGGAUCAAAUAAAUGAAGGGCCACGAUUAACCGUUUCAAAACGGCGUCGUUGUGGAUUGCUAAGGCUAGAUCGGGUAAAUUAAAGGACUGGGUCGUGUAACAUUGAAGACAACUAGGCCGUCCAACUUGUUGGCACAGUUUAAAUGCAAGACCAAACUCCCCCCUUCUUUUUGCUCUAAGUUUCAAACCUAACGCAUUAAUGUAGGGUCCUAAUUUUGAAUUAAUCUUUUUUUUGUUUGGAAAAUUAACCCGUUUAUCCUCUUCAACUAAUAAUUGAUCAAUUCACCUAUUAACUCAAUAAUUAAACUUAAAAAAAAUGCAAGACAAUGCAAAAAUGGCUAACGUAUAUUUUUUUGUGAUUUUUAUGUAUUAACUAUGCAUUUACGAUGUAAUUAAAUCCUAAAAAUGCAAUUAAGGUGUUGGAAUGCAAUGAAUAAAAGAAAAAUAAAAUAUAAAAGUAUUUUUGGUAUUUUGUGAUUUAUGGUAUUCUUAAUUAGGCUAACAAUGCAACUAAAUGCGAUAAAAAUGCAAACAAAUAAAUAAAGAAAAUUCCUUAAAAUCUAUGAAAAAUAAUUAUAACUAUUUUGAAUAUUUUUUAGGAGUAAUUUUAUAUGUGGGAUAAAAAUUACGUGCUCAUAGCUGCCCCUCUUUGCUCGAGAACAUGAAGAGUUUUUGGGCCAAGAUAAAGUGAGCAACUACGAAUAACUUUUACCCGUUUGAUACUGCAUGGGAAGCAUUUUGAAAACUUUCGACCGAACCUUGCUUCAGAGGUUUCCUACUUAUCCUUGGCUAUAAAGGAAUCAGGUCAGUAUAAUUCUAGAAGUUUUGGUAGCUGGGACUACCGGGGAACUAUUAUUUCACGUCUGUUGCUGCUGUUACUGUUUGUUGAACUCCUUAUUACACCAAAAUCAAAAUUAAAAAAAAAAAAACUAGACAAGCCUAUCAGGUAUGAGUUACAAGAUUCCUAUCUAUAAGUCUUUUGGAGCUUGAUCUUGAGUCCUGACUGGUUCUUCAUGUAGGCUCUGAUUUGAAUCUUGAUGCUUGCUAGUUUUAGGUGCUAGUUCAUUCUUCUAUGGUUUUUCUAAUCAAGACGGGAAAUGCGAUGCUCAUGACUUCAGUCAUGUCUUGAGCAGUCCAUAUUUUUUCAUCCGCUUCUGCAUUUUGAAUUCACUUUUUUUUUUCUUUUUUUUCUUUAUUCUGGAUUGAGACUUCUUCUUUUGAUCAUCUCAAACCCUGUGCCUCGAGGUAAAAUCUACUCAGAUACCAAAACAAAACAAACGAACGAAAUUUUUCUGCCCUAGUUUUCACCAGGAAAUUUUCAUGAGUUAUUGUAACAGAAAUUUAAACUACUUCUUUAUUGAAAGCAAUAAAAGAGCCGUGAAUGGUGUAUCCAGAGAGAAUUUGAUGAUUUUUGAUUUUAUUUUGAUUUGAUUUUUUUUAAAAAAAAGUGAAAAUGAUGUUUCAACCAAGGAUUGGUGUACCUUAUGUUGGGAAAAUGUAGAUAGGAAAUGGUGUAAAAAUAUCAUCAACUAGGGAGUGGUGACCCUAUGUUGGAAAACACACCUAGGGAUUGGUGUACCCUAUACUGGUAAGGAGACUAGGGAGUGUUGAACCUAUGUCUAAACUAUCACCAACUAGGGAGUGGAGACCCUAUGUUGGAAAAGGAGACUAGGGAGUGAGGACCCUAUGUCUAAAAUAACAUCAACUAGGGAGUGCAAACCCUAUGUUGGAAAAGGAGACUAGGGAGUGGAGACCCUAUGUCUAAAAUAAAAUCAACUAGGGAGUGGAGACCCUAUGUUAGAAAAUGAGACUUGGGAGUGGAGACCCUNNNNNNNNNNNNNNNNNNNNNNNNNNNNNNNNNNNNNNNNNNNNNNNNNNNNNNNNNNNNNNNNNNNNNNNNNNNNNNNNNNNNNNNNNNNNNNNNNNNNNNNNNNNNNNNNNNNNNNNNNNNNNNNNNNNNNNNNNNNNNNNNNNNNNNNNNNNNNNNNNNNNNNNNNNNNNNNNNNGUNNAAAAUAACAUCAACUAGGGAGUGGAUACCCUAUGUUGGAAAAGGAGACUAGGAAGUGGAGACCCUAUGUCUAAACUAACAUCAACUAGGGAGUGGAGACCCUAUGUUGGAAAGAAAGACUAAGGAGUGGAGACCCUAUGUAUAAAAUAAAAUCAACUAAGGAGUGGAGACCCUAUGUUGGAAAAUGAGACUAGGGAGUGGAGACUCCAUGUCUAAAAUAACUUCAACUAGGGAGUGGAGACCCUAUAUUUGAAAACGCAGCUAGGGAUUGGUGUACCCUAUACUACCAUGGUUUUGAACUUUAUUUCUUUUCUUUCUUCUUUUUUUUAAUUAUAUUUUUUUAUUAAGAGAAUGAGUAAAAUGCGGGAAAGAAUUUGGAGAAGACUUCCCAUUUUGGAGUUGUUUCUACUGUAGUUUCUACUCCCCGCACAGUUUCUUUUUGGUUGCACCUGCUUCUUGCAAGGUUGCUUUUGGAUUGCACCUGUUUCCUGUUUUUCAAACAAAGAACAAUUUGUCAGUUUGAAAUGGUGGUUGGUUUUGUCGCCUUGAGUGUUUCAGUCACUUGAUCUUGACCAAUCUUCUUUUGACGAUGAUUUCAAACUGCAACUGAUUGUUUCCUGGAUACCGAGUGCCUUUCUGGCCCCAACGAGCCUUUGGCUUUUCCAAACUUUGCUAUGAUGGUGGGUCGCUUGGGACUUAACCUUUUUCAACUUUAUUUUGCCUUUGUAGGCCUUUCACUUCUGACUUCUUUCUUUCAAUUUUAAUUUCAGAGCAUUUGGGGAAUCCUUGGCUUUUCAAACCUUUCCAAGAUGGUUAGCCACAUGGGAUUCAACCUUUUCAACUUCAUUUCUCCCUUGUAGGCACUUACAUUUGAUUUUCUUCUUUCGAGAGUUUUUGAUUUUAAAGCGUCGACUGCCAUGGACAGUCGGGGUCGACUUGAUGCUCCUACCAAGGUUGGGUGCCUUUUUUGCAUAUUAGCUUGUAUCAAACGAGAGCCCUGUAAAUCAGUCUUGCCAUCCCUUCUUUGCCUUAGUUUUUGGAACAAAGUUAGACCGAAAGAGAUUCAAAGAAAAGCAAAUAAUGGAAUGGAAAAUGAAUAUAAACAAGAGGUAUCCCUUUUGGGGAAAGGAAAGAAGGACUUAUCUGGAGUAUAUGCGGACUUCGAUGAACAUGACAUGCCUUUUGGACUGGAUGCCUGAUAUGUGUAAACCGCCCAACUCUUAGAAAUUCAUCACAACGUUUGCCUCGAAACCGAGAAACCUUGCCCGGGACUGUGUCGAUACCAAUGGUUGUGAGGAUCCUCUUUUCGAUCAGUGGCACCAUUUGCGAGUUUUCACCAGCUGACCUCUCUCAUUUCUCUUCUCACCAUCGUAUUAUAGUUCUCUUUGCGAGUUUUCACUAACAAGACUCUCUCAUUUUUAAUUUCUCUAACUACCAUCAUCUUAUGAUGCCCGUGAGGGUUUUCACUAAUAAAACUCUCUCAUUUUGGUUGCAUCAGAUCCAAGUAAUUGUAUCCUCCAAUUGUGAACAUCUUUGCCGAUUGAUCGAAAGGACUUGAAAAUGAUUUGGGUAAAAAGAAUUUAGAUUGAAUUACAACUUUGGAACCUUUCAGGAGAAACCAUCGCCGAACCAUUAUAACAUCUACCCCAGUUUUCACUUUUGGGGGAAUGUGGAUUUUUGUUUUGGCAUGACUAAACCCCAGAGAGAGGCUGCUUACGUAUCCUUCGGAAUCAAGUUGAACGUAGUUCAAUGAACUUUGUUUUUUUUUUAAUUUUUUCUUUUUUCUUUUUCAAUAAUAACUUCCAGGUUCCUAAGAGGUUUAUCAAUGAAAGGGAACCGGCUCAACGAGUUCUCAAAGGGUUGAUAGUGUUUGGAUAGUGAGAAAGAAAGCCUUCAUCAUCCCAAUCGGAGCAUGUUAAAGCUGUGAAAAAGGGGUCAAACAUAAUACCUUUUGACCGCAUCUGCAUUGAUAUCUGUCUCGGGGUUCCUUCGAUGUCUCCCAAAUACAGCGCUCCUUUCGGCAACACUCUUCUUACAAUGUACGGACCUUUCCAAUUUGGACAAAUUUUCUUUUGGAUUCUUCAUGAUACGGGAGAAUACGUCUCAGAACGCAUUUCCCCAUUUCGAAUUUUCUGGGCUGAACUUUCUUGUUGUAGGCACGGGCCAUUCUUUGUUGGUACAAAUGCACGUGGCAAACUACGGCUAUCCGCUUUUCAUCAAUCAUAGUCAAUUGUUCCAACCGGGUUUUGACCCAUUCAUCAUCCUCAAUCUCGGCUUCAACAAUGAUCUGAAGAGAGGGAAUCUCAACUUCUGCAAGUAUUAUGGCUUCUGUGCCAUAAACCAAUAAGUAGGGAGUGGCCCCAACUAACAUGCACACGGUUGUGCGAUAUCCCAAUAGUGCAAAAGGAAAAUUUUCAUGCCAUUGUCUAGAACCCUGAACCAUUUUCCUGAGGAUCUUCUUGAUGUUCUUGUUUGCCGCUUCAAUAACGCCAUUAGCUUUGGGCCGAUAAGGGGUAGAAUUACGAUGCGUAAUUUUAAAUUGUUCGCAUACCUCCCUCAUCAAAUGGCUGUUCAGAUUUGUAGCAUUGUCUGUAAUGAUAGUUUUAGGAAUACAAAAAUGACAAAAAAUGUUGGAAUACAUGAAGUCCACUACUGCUUUCUUGGUGACGGCUUUGAAAGUGACUGCUUCGACCCACUUUGUGAAAUAAUCGAUGGAAACCAAGAUGAAUCUGUGCCCAUUUGAGGCUUUUGGCUAGAUUGACCUAAUAACAUCCAUGCCCCAAGCAACGAAUGACCAAGGCGCUGAUAUAGGAUGUAGCUCUGAAGGCGGUGCAUGAGUCAUGUCACAGUUUAUCUGGCACUGAUGGCAUUUACGGACAAAAUUGAAAAAAUCAUUUUCCAUGGUCAUCUAGUAAUAACCUUCCCGGAGAAUUUUCUUUGCAAGGACAUACCCAUUCAUGGAGUCCCACAUGCUCCUGAAUGCAUUUUGUUCAUGAUCUUUUCAGCUUCUCGAGAAUCUACGCACCUUAAGAGAUUCAUAUCCGGAGUUCUUUUAUAUAGGAUCCCUCUACUUAAAAGAAACCGCUUGCAAGCCUUCUUAUAGUUAUCUUUUGAUCUCCACUGGCCUGCUCCGGAUAUUCUUUUAUUUUCAAAAACCUUUUGAUAUCAUGAUACCAUGACUGACCAUCUGGCUCUAUUUCAAUUGCGUUACAAUAACCAUGCCUUUCUUGAACUUGAAUCUCCAGCGGGUCAAUAUGAACAUUACCCGGGUACGGCAACAUUGGGGCCAAAGUAGCUAGUGCAUCAACUAGCUCAUUGUGGAAUCGAGGAAUAUACCUGAACUCGACGGACUUAAAUCAUCUGCUAAGAUCCUCCACGUGUUGCUUGUACGGUAUGAGUUUGAUGUCUCGAGUUUCCCAUUCGCCUAGGGCUUGGCGAAUGAUUAAAUCAGAAUCCCACAUGAUUAGUAAUUCCUGUACAUCUAAAUCAACUGCCAUGUUUAUGCCCAUGAUGCAAGAUUCAUACUCGGUGGUGUUGUUUGUACAGAAGAACCGGAGCCGGGCAGUGGUUGUAUAGUGUUGACUUGUGGGCAAAAUCAGAAUUGCCCCAAUCCCCACGUCUUUUGCGUUUACGACCCCAUCAAUAAAAUUUUCCAUGCAUUGGUGUUCCCUGGAAUUACUUCACUCGAGUUUACUUCCUCAUCCGGAAAAUAAGUGCUUAAUGGUUGAUAUUCAUCAUCGACCAGAUUUUUGGCCAGGUGAUCUGCCAAGGCUUGAGCUUUCAUCACCGUGUGAGUGACAUGGACAAUGUCAAACUUGGUGAGCAAGAUCUGCCAUUUUUCUAACCUUCCAGUGGGCACGCUUAUGGAAUAUAUACUUCAAAGGAUCCAUCAUGGUUAUGAGAUGUGUUGUGUAAGCCAACAAGUAGUGUCUCAGCUUUUGGGCGACCCAAGUUAGGGUGCAACAAGUUCUUUCCAACAAAGUGUACUUGGCUUCAUAACUGGUGAAUUUCUUGCUCAGAUAAUAUAUGGCAUGUUCUCUCUUCCCGGUUACACCGUGUUGCCCCAGGACACAGCCGAAAGAAUUUUCCAAGACUGUCAGAUACAAGAACAAAGGUCUUCCUGGCUCGGGUGGAACCAACACCGAUGGAUUUGACAGGUAUUCUUUAAUUUUAUCAAAAGCUUCUUUACACUCAUCUGUCCAUUUGAUUGCCACAUCUAUCUUCAAUAACUUGAAUAUGGGCUCACAAGUGGUGGUAAGAUAAGCGAUGAAUCUGCUGAUGUACUUCAAUCUACCUAGUAGACACAUGACCUCUUUCUUGCUCAUCAGAGGUGGAAAGUCCCGAAUAAACUUUAUAUUUGUUGGAUCUAAUUACAUAUCCCUCCGACUGACUAUAAACACCAGAAGUUUCCCAGAUGGAACUCUGAAUGCACAUUUAGCUAGGUUCAAUUUCAAAUCAUACCUGCGCAGACGCUCAAAAGAUUUCCUCAAAUCUCGCAUAUGGUCUUCAUGCUUUAUGGAUUUAAUGAUCACAUCAUCCACAUAUACCUCAAUUUCCUGAUGCAUCAUGUCAUGGAAGAUGGUAGUUAUAACUCUCAUGUAGGUUGCCCCGAUGUUUUUCAGACCAAAUGGCAUGACCCUGUAACAGUAAGUGCUCCAAGGUGUGGUAAAAGCAGUCUUUUCUGCAUCUUCUUCAUCCAUCAGAACCUGGUGAUACCCAACAUAACAAUCCACGAAAGACUGUAUCUCAUGUUUAGCACAAUUAUCAAUAAGAAUGGGGAGUUUUGGCAAUGGAAAUUUAUCUUGGGACUUGCCUUGUUCAAAUCCCGAUAAUCAACACGGACUUGGGGUUUUCCAUCUUUCUUUGGCACAGGUAACGCAUUAGCCAGCCAUGUGGUGUGUCGGACCACUCGGAUCACACCAACUUUCAGUUGUUUGGUGACUUCUUCUUUGAUCUUAUCACUGAUGUCAGUUUUGAACUUUCUUUGCUCCUGUUGGACUGGUGGAUAACCGAGAUAAGUAGGCAAUUUAUGUACUACCAAAUCAACGCUCAGCCCUGGCAUAUCAUCAUAAGACCAUGCAAACACAUCUUUGAAUUCAAACAAAAGUUGGAUGAAGGCAUCUCUAAUUCUUUCGUCAGCGUGAAUGCUUAUCAUGGUUUUUCGGAUCUCUUCUGAACUGCUCAAAUUAACUAGCUCGGUUUCAUUUAAGCUUAGCUUAGGCUUAUUCUCAAAUUGUUCCAAUUCUCGAUUUAUUUCCCUAAAGGCCUCGUCUUCAUCAUAUUCUGGCUCUUGAUUCAUUAUUUCAAAGUUAGACAGCAUUUUAGGAUCUGGGCAUGAAGUCCGCAAGUAUGUCAUGUUAUUUAAAUCCGCAUUAUUAGAACUGAAAAGAAAAAGAUAACAAAAAAUAGCAAAAUCAGAACAAAGGAAAAGAGACAUCUAUGGACGAUGAAAUAUUGAUUCCAUUUAAUUGAAUUGAAAUAUAUGAGGGUUUAUAUCAGAAUUAAAAUACAAUAAAGUAAAACAUUCGAGUUAUACCCUGAAAUAACUCGUAAUGUAGAAGAGAUAGCAAGACUGAACUACUGGGACUCCCGCCUGAUAGGGAAUGAGGUAGCCUACCAGUUCUGGAGCUUGAAAUCCUGUCCGAUAUAUUGCACCUCGGCACGGCUCGUGCCUUCCCAUGGAUGGACCAUGUGGGACUCAUAUAGCAUUUGUUUCAAGGCUUCGCACAUAUCAUUGAUUUCUUCAGCCGUGAAGGCCUCUUCUUCUUCUUCUUCUUCCAUAUACUUUGGUUUGACAAAUGAUUAGGCGAGAUGUGGAAUGGGCUGGGACAUGAACCACCCAUUUUCUUUGCAUUUGUCAGCCCAUGUUCUGUCGGCCUUUGUAGCUUGGAAGCCCAACCCAAAAUACUUCUCAUUGACGAUUGGGGAAAUGGGCUCAGUAAUGCCCUGUAGAGAUACUCCGAGCCCCUUUUAGGGUUUGUACCCAUUUCUAAUCAUUUGGGUGGCGACCAUGAUCGAAGCAUUAGACAAGCAAGGUUAAGGUAAUGGGGCCCCUUCUUCAAAUUGGUUAGCGACCAAAAUUUCAAAAGCUUGGUACACAAUGUGCUCACUGCCUUCUCUAGCUUCAAGACACGGGACCGAGGGGUCCCAGGAGAUGGAUUGCUCGUCUUCUCCAUGGACAACAAUCUCUUGAUUAUCAUAUUCAAACUUGACUGUUGGUGAAAAGUGGAGGGAAUAGCUCCGACAGUAUGAAUCCAUGGUCUACCUAGGAGGAAAUUGUACGAGGUUUCCAUGUCCAAAGCUUGGAAAGUCACCUUAAAGUCUACAGGUACAAUAGUUAAAAUCAGAUCAGUUUCUCCUAUUGUGUCUCUCUUGACCCCAUCAAAAGCUCGUACGCAGAUAUUGUUAGCCCAACUUCUUUAUGUUCCAAUCUCCAUUCUCUGGAGUGUUGAGAGAGGGAAAAUAUCUACCUAGACCUACCAUCUAACAUCACUCUUUUCAGAUAAUAGUCCUCACAUUUGACAGUCAGGUGGAGGGCUUUGUUGUGGGCAGCUCCCUCUACGGGCAAAUCAUCGCAGCUGAAGGAAAUCUUAUUGACCUCAAAAAAUCUUUCGGCCAUCCUUUCCAAUUGUUCGAUAGAAGUAUCAACCGGGACAUACGCUUCAUUUAAUGUUUUGAGGAGAACUUUUUGAUGUUCAUCCAAACUCAGCAAUAGAGAUAAGAGUGAGACUUGGGAAGGAGUCUUCCGGAGUUGGUCAACUAUUGAGUACUCUGAAGUUUUCAUGUUUUUAAAAAACUCUUCCGCUUCCUCAUUGCUUAUAGGCUUCUUGGAUGGCAUCUUUUUAUCCCUGUUAUGUUUGGACUUCUUUAGCUCUUUUGGGGUAUGGUACGUCCUAGACUGAUUCAUCUCAUUCACUUCCCCCAUAAUUUCUUUCCCUUUGUAUGUAACCACGGUUUUGUUGUAGUUCCAGGGGACUGUGGUAGGAUAUUUCAUUUGACUCUGUGGUGCAGUACUGAUAACCACAAGCUCAGUCAGUCUUGGUGAAAUUACCGGCCUUCACGCCACAUAUGUCCCCUUUGGUACAUAUAGUCUUGGCACAUUCAAUAUAGCUUUCCUUUCAUCGAACUUCUUGGGAAUGCUGAGGAUAAGUUGUUCUUUUCUCGGGGCCUUAGGAACAUAAAGAACCAUGUUCUGGGUAGGUGCUGUCCCAGUUAUUGUUUCAACGGCCUGAGGAAUCAGAGCUACUUUCUUUUCAGUUUUUGUCGGUUUUACCGCCACUUUAGGUCUUGAUUUUAAAUUGGCGAUGGCAACAAUGGCUUUCAAUGUCGGGUCAACCUCUUUCUCAUCACAAAUCAUACCAAUGAUCGGCCCAUUAUUGUGAGUAGGUAGUGGAUUGUUGGUCACAUUAGGGAUCUCUUCAUCCCUCAGCACAAUUCCUUUUGCUUCGAUCAGGCCUUCGAUCGCCCUUUUGAGGGCCCAACAAUCUUCUAUGUUAUGCACUCCCAUUUCUGAAUGGUUUUCACACCUGGCACGCCCUGUAUGAUGGAGACUCAGGAUUUUGCCAAUUGGGAGUCACGGGUUGCAACCCAGUUGUAUUAACUUCUGAAGCAGACUGGAGUAAGAUUCACCAAUGGGGGUGAAAUUGUUUUGUCUAGGAGGCACUCUACGAUAGCCUCGCCACGUGAAACGCACCCGCGAUUUACAACAUGUUUAUUAUUAUUAUUUGAAGUUGUGGUCAAGUCGCGUGAAACGCGCACUCGAAUUGGGAUUUAUGUAUCGUGAUAUGCCACGGGAACCGUACCCAUAGUCAUGAUGUUUUACUAUUAAUCACGCCUAAAGUAAACUACGAUGUUCAAAAUUGUUUAAUACCUAAGUUUGAGAUGAAGUUCAUCAGUUAUGGAUUCAUUUUGUAUAGAGUACAUAUAAUCUUAUUGAGGAAUCUCGCACGAGUCCACUGGGGUGAUUUAAAGAAGCUGAUUAAAUACUCUUAUUAAGGUCUUCAACUGAUCCAAGUGAAUAGACCGGGCCUAAGACAAAGGCCCAGUAUCGUGAGACCUAAAUUGGAAUUAUAUUCCAAAGACUAAAUCAUAGAGUCCUUGACUCUUUUCAAUUUAUAAACAAAAUAGGCUCCAAAGCCUCCUCAGGGUCUGGCCCAAUUGCAUCUACAACAGAUUGGCCUGACUUCAAAAAAACAAAAACUAGGCCAUCGUGACAAGCCCAAUAGUGUGGGAAAUCGAUUAUAUUGCACAAAGAAGUACUGGUUGACAGUUUAAUUAAAUAGAGAAUUUAGAAAUGAAAAAAAAACUACUGAUCAAUAGUUCAAUUAAUUACAUGAAAUAAAGAAUUCGAAAGAAUUUUUCACAAAGCUAAAUGUAGCAGGAAUUGCAAGGUUUUUACUAAUAUCAGUCUACAUGCCAUUAACGAAUCCUAAAACAAACUGUAACAACAGUCAUUACCACCAUUUAACAUGCCCAGUCGCAGAGUAGCCAAAUAUAAGAAUGAAUUUGUCUAAAGCCUUAGAGCUAACACCAUUUUACUGAGUCCUUCUUCCAUAUAAUCAAUCUCCUAAAUCUCACUCCACUUGCCAGAUUCUUGCUUUACAUGUUCUUGAUGCAAUUAUAAUCUAUUCCAAUUUAUACAAACGAGUUGUUGUAAACUGAUUCCAUGACCCUAAUUCAAAUCAUACUCACUAUCACUAUUCAACACGCUGUAAAUUUCAUAAUAACAUUUGUCUCUAAUCAGACCAUUGAGUGCAAUUAAAUCAAACUUGGAUUCAACUUUUAUGAAGGUUAUACAUACUAAUAUGCAGAUCUAACUCAUUUCAAUCAUAGACUAAGCUUAUACAAAGAUCAUUUUAGCUUAAAAUCAAUUAGCUAUACCUUGACUAAAUCUACAGUAACAUAGUCAAUAAUCACAGCUAAACAUAAUUCAUAUAUCAAGAGAGAAAGCAAGUAUGGACAGAUUAAAGGACCACACACCCUUAAUACACGAAAUAUGGACAUAAAAUACAGCAAGAACAAAUCACAUCUUCAAUUCCAUAUUCAAUACAGAUCCUAGAUGAAGGAUUACAUUCCUAGCAACAAGGAAAGCAAAGAAAAUGACCAAGUAAAGGUCAAAUUUGAGGGCAAACAGAGCUUGGUUAGACAGGAGAAGCUAAAGCAGUAAUCAACAACAAAUGAACUUCAACUUCAACAGCUUCUAAACCUAGAAAAUGUUCCCCAAAAGCUUGCUUUCAGAUCUCUUUCUAAGUGUGUCACUAACCAAACUCCCUCCGUAUAACGUCAUGAUGACACCUAGUCUCUACGACUAGGUAAGCCUAACAAAUUACGAAAAAUAACAAAGCGAAAAUAAAACUUGACAACUAACAACAGUUGAUAACUGAAUAACUAGUAACAAUGUCGCUCAGCAUGUACAAUAACCAAUAAUAUAUAAAUACAUAGUCUUUCCAAAACCUAGAACAUUAUAAGUCACAAGCUACAUAAGGAAAACUAGUAUCUCUAUACACAAGAGUCUAAUAAGAGAAGUACGGAAGGUAAAUGACAUAGGAGAAAAUAGAGGGGGACUCCGAGGUCUGCGGGCGCGGCAGAUGUACCUUGAAGUCUCCGUAUAGGAGCAAGCACUCUCAGCUAAUAGCGGGGCUAAUUAGAAGUACCUGGAUCUCCACGCAAAAUAUGUGCAGAAGAGUAGCAUGAGUACACCACAACGGUACCUAGUAAGUUCCAAGCUUAACCUCGGUAGAGUAGUGAUGAGGUCAGGUCAGGCCCACUGGUAUAUAAUAAAUAAAGCAGGAUAAUAUAACAGUACAAUAAGAGACUGGAAUUUAACACAAGGAAAACACAGCGAAAUAACAGUACAACACACAAGGGUAAAUAACAGGGGAUCUCCCGAGAUACCGUCUCGUAGUCCCAAAAUAUAAUAUGCAGGGAGAACUCCCAAGGUACCGCCUCGUAGUCUCAAAAGUAAAUAUACAGGGAGAACUCCUGAGGUACCGCCUCGUAGUCUCAAAAGUAAAUAUGCAGGGAGAACUCUCGAGGCACAGUCUCGUAGUCUCAAAAGUAAAUGUGCAGGGAGAACUCCCGAGGAACCGCCUCGUAGUCUCAAAAGUAAAUACACAGCUCAAACCGAUAAAUACAACAGUUAACAACAAGAUUUCUACAGUUAUACUAAUAAAGAACAAGGAAAAGCAGGAAAUCAACUAGGCAUGCUUCACAGAGUUCAAAUAAGCAGUUAAAACAUACAGACAUGCGAUAUUAUACUAAACAGGAUAGCUACACAUAUUACAACAAAUAUUCCGUGUACGUACUCAUCACCUCACGUACACGGCGCUCACAUAUCACAAUAGUACCAAAUCCUAAGGGGAUUUUUCCCACAUAAGGUUAGGCAAGCCACUUACCUCGAACCAAGUUCAAAUCAAUCCGUAAGAAUGCCCUUUCUUCGAUUAUCUGACUCUGAAUGGCCCAAAUCUAGCCAAAUACAAUUACAUACCAUAAAUAUAUCUAUAAGAAACUAAUCUAAUUAAUGAAAUCUAAGCGAAAACAAGAAAAUUAGGAAUUCGUCCCAAAAAGCCUCUCCGGGGCCACGUCUCGGAAUCGGGUAAAAGUCAAAACAUAUGAACACCCAUUCACUCAUGAUUCUAACCACACAAGAAUUACUCGGAUCCGACCUCAAAUCACCUUCCAAAACUCGAAACUUUAGUCUAUGAAGUUUCUACCAUUUUCUCCCAAAUUUCCAACUCAAAUCCCUAGUUAGAUGAUGAAAAUAGCAAUAGAUUCGUGAAAUAUAUUCCAAUUUGAGUUAGAAUCACUUACCCCAACAAUCUUCUUGAAGAAACCUCGAAAAAUCGCUUCACACCGAGCUCUCAAAGUCCCAAAAUCAAAAUGGGAAUCAAACCCUCGAAAUCCUAUUUUCUGUCAAGUUAUUCCACAUCUGCGGACCUACUGCUGCACCUGUGACACCGCACCUGCGGAAUUUCCUUUGCAGGUGCGGAAAUGACUAAAAGGGGCUGGGUCCGCACCUGUGUGUGCCCGCCUACGGGAACAGGUUCGCUUAUGCGGUCUCACUUCUCACCUGCGCUCCUUUGGCGCAUCUGCGGGCAUCACAUAUGCGGAAAAUUGCCUCGCACCAGCGAGCCCUGAGCACCUAUCCCACUCCGCUUCUACGAUAGACCUUGCGCAUGUGCGAUCCUACACCUGCGGUCUCCUCACCGCAGGUGCGAAAAUACCAGAAACCACCGCAAGUGCGAAAACAACAGAAACCAGAAAACUUUAGCCAUUUGCCUAACUCCAAAUUCAAAUAAUUAAGCAUUCGAAACAUACCCGAGGGUCCCGGGACCUCAACAAAACAUACCAACCAGUCCUAAAAUACCAUACAAACUUAGUCAAGCCCUCUAAUCACAUCAAACAAUGCUAAAAAUAUGAAUCACCCUCCGAUUCAAACUUAAUGAACUUGAAAUUUUAAAUUUCUACAACUGAUGCCGAAACCUCUCAAACCAUGUCCGGUUGACCCUAAAUUUUUCACACAAGUCAUAUUAAACAUUAUGGACAUACUUCAACUUCCAGAAUCGGAAUCCGACCUUGAUAUCAAAAAGUUCACUUCUGGUCAAAAUCUCCAAAAAUUCGACUUUCGCCAUUUCAAGCCUAAAUCUGCUACAGACCUCAAAUUCACAGUCCGGACACACUCCUAAGUCCAAAAUCACCCAAUGGAGAUGGAACUUUAUUUCGGAGUCGUCUUCACACAGUUCCGACUACGGUCAAAAUCCUAAGACUUAAGCUUCCGUUUUAGGGACUAAGUGUCCCAAAUCACUCCGAAACCACAACAAAAUCUCCUGGCAAGUCACAUAAGUAGAAAAAGAUACGGGGGAAGUAGUAAAUAGGGGAUCGGGGCUAAUACACUCAAAAAGACUGGUCGGGUCGUUACAAAGUAUUGUUUUUGUGUGUUUUGUUUUUGAAAUUAGGAUUGGUAAAUCUAAGAGUAAAUACUUCAAAGUAUAUAAAAAAUGAGGAUGAAUUCCUCUUAAUCCAGUCUUGUGUGGUGGAGUGAAGAAGAAGAGUGUAAUCAAUAGAUGCAAAAUGUUUGUGUGUUCUUUGAAGGAAUGCCGAGAUAAAGAUGCCUAUAAAUGAGAGUGCAAAAUGAGUUUUUAUGCAGAAAAUGAG